rnacentral:rRNA from 1 species
GAUGAACGCUGGCGGCGUGCCUAAUACAUGCAAGUCGAGCGAACAGACGAGGAGCUUGCUCCUCUGACGUUAGCGGCGGACGGGUGAGUAACACGUGGAUAACCUACCUAUAAGACUGGGAUAACUUCGGGAAACCGGAGCUAAUACCGGAUAAUAUAUUGAACCGCAUGGUUCAAUAGUGAAAGACGGUUUUGCUGUCACUUAUAGAUGGAUCCGCGCUGCAUUAGCUAGUUGGUAAGGUAACGGCUUACCAAGGCAACGAUGCGUAGCCGACCUGAGAGGGUGAUCGGCCACACUGGAACGGAGACACGGUCAAGAGUCCUACGGGAGGCAGCAGUAGGGAAUCUUCCGCAAUGGGCGAAAGCCUGACGGAGCAACGCCGAGUGAGUGAUGAAGGUGUUGCGAUCGUAAAAAUCUGUUAUUAGGGAAGAACAAAUGUGUAAGUAACUAUGCACGUCUUGACGGUACCUAAUCAGAAAGCCACGGCUAACUACGUG